ensembl:miRNA gmo-mir-181c gmo-mir-181c
CACAUUCAUCGCUGUCGGUGGGUUGAGAAUAAUGCUGUCAACUUGCCGGACGCUGAAUGUCA